GACGAACGCUGGCGGCGUGCUUAACACAUGCAAGUCGAACGGAAAGGCCCUUCGGGGUACUCGAGUGGCGAACGGGUGAGUAACACGUGGGUGAUCUGCCCUGCACUUUGGGAUAAGCCUGGGAAACUGGGUCUAAUACCGAAUAGGACCGCGCGCUUCAUGGUGUGUGGUGGAAAGCUUUUGCGGUGUGGGAUGGGCCCGCGGCCUAUCAGCUUGUUGGUGGGGUAAUGGCCUACCAAGGCGACGACGGGUAGCCGGCCUGAGAGGGUGACCGGCCACACUGGGACUGAGAUACGGCCCCGACUCCUACGGGAGGGAGCAGGGGGGAAUAUUGCACAAUGGGCGCAAGCCUGAUGCAGCGACGCCGCGUGAGGGAUGACGGCCUUCGGGUUGUAAACCUCUUUCACCAGGGACGAAGCGCAAGUGACGGUACCUGGAGAAGAAGCACCGGCCAACUACGUG
rnacentral:rRNA from 1 species